rnacentral:lncRNA from 10 species
UGUGAGAAUUAAGAGAAAUGAGGCGUGUAAAGUCCCUGGAGCAUGGGAAGUCCUCCCAAGAAAGCAUUUCUUGAGCUGCUGGAAAAACAUCUCCUAAGUCUGAAAGAACUUCGAGCAGUCAGGAGGCUUUAAAGCUCCCAACAAAGGAAUCAAGAGGGAUGGAAUGGCAUUGAGAUAACAUCCGACUGUCUGAUGAAAUGGUGCUGUCAGAGGGAAUCUGUAUUCCUGUGCAAGAACUGCUUGCCUG